rnacentral:rRNA from 1 species
AAACCAACAGGGAUUGCCUUAGUAACGGCGAGUGAAGCGGCAAAAGCUCAAAUUUGAAAUCUGGCGCCUUCGGUGUCCGAGUUGUAAUUUGAAGAAGGUAACUUUGGAGUUGGCUCUUGUCUAUGUUCCUUGGAACAGGACGUCACAGAGGGUGAGAAUCCCGUGCGAUGAGAUGCCCAAUUCUAUGUAAAGUGCUUUCGAAGAGUCGAGUUGUUUGGGAAUGCAGCUCUAAGUGGGUGGUAAAUUCCAUCUAAAGCUAAAUAUUGGCGAGAGACCGAUAGCGAACAAGUACAGUGAUGGAAAGAUGAAAAGAACUUUGAAAAGAGAGUGAAAAAGUACGUGAAAUUGUUGAAAGGGAAGGGCUUGAGAUCAGACUUGGUAUUUUGCGUUCCCUUCCUUCUUGGGGGGGUUCCUCGCAGUUUAUCGGGCCAGCAUCGGUUUGGAUGGUAGGAUAAUGACUUUGGAAUGUGGCUCUGCUUCGGGAGAGUGUUAUAGCCUUGGUUGAUACUGCCUGUCUAGACCGAGGACCGCGUCUUUGACUAGGAUGUUGGCAUAAUGAUCUUAAGCCGC